GGAAAGGCGCGCGAUACAGGGUGACAGCCCCGUACACAAAAAUGCACAUGCUGUGAGCUCGAUGAGUAGGGCGGGACACGUGGUAUCCUGUCUGAAUAUGGGGGGACCAUCCUCCAAGGCUAAAUACUCCUGACUGACCGAUAGUGAACCAGUACCGUGAGGGAAAGGCGAAAAGAACCCCGGCGAGGGGAGUGAAAAAGAACCUGAAACCGUGUACGUACAAGCAGUGGGAGCACGCUUAGGCGUGUGACUGCGUACCUUUUGUAUAAUGGGUCAGCGACUUAUAUUCUGUAGCAAGGUUAACCGAAUAGGGGAGCCGAAGGGAAACCGAGUCUUAACUGGGCGUUAAGUUGCAGGGUAUAGACCCGAAACCCGGUGAUCUAGCCAUGGGCAGGUUGAAGGUUGGGUAACACUAACUGGAGGACCGAACCGACUAAUGUUGAAAAAUUAGCGGAUGACUUGUGGCUGGGGGUGAAAGGCCAAUCAAACCGGGAGAUAGCUGGUUCUCCCCGAAAGCUAUUUAGGUAGCGCCUCGUGAAUUCAUCUCCGGGGGUAGAGCACUGUUUCGGCAAGGGGGU
rnacentral:rRNA from 1 species